UUUUGCUGUCUUGUUUGGUCUUGUUUUCGACGCGGAAGCAUCGCAGAUAUCUUUGUACAUAACUUUUAUUUGUUACGUUAUCGAUGGAUGACGAACCAGCUACACUUGAAAGUCAGUUCUUUGAGUUUGCAAAACUUUUGGACAAUAAACGGGAUGGAUUGACGAUCACCCUGUAUAGAUCAGACUAUUGGAUGCGUCAGAGUAAACUUAUUGAUGAUAGGAAACUCACCAUGACAGAUACAGGCAUUUUUUGGUGGAAAUUCUGUAAAACAGAGUUGAACUACGAUGAGUGGUACGAGUUUUUGACUGAUGUGUGUAAUGAAAAGAAGCUAGACCAGGAAUACGUUGACAAUGCAAUGACUAACUGUGGAAUCCCCGGAACUUCCGCCGUGAACGUCCCGCAAUACCGUGAUUUCUUCGACACCUAUCAACCCAAGGAAAAGCUGGCUUUCUAAUUUCUCUCUAGUUUUAUAGUUGAAUGUUUUAUAACAAG